CCUAUUCUGACGUCAGAUCCAUCAACUCAACCUCCCCUCACACAGUCUCCAACUGUGGACCAGCAGGAAAUCAGAUUGAAGAUGUAAUCUAUUCUGGGGUGAACUCCACUGACUCCACUUCCCCCCACACAGUGUCCCACUGUGGACCAGAAGAUCAUGAUGUAUACUGCACAAUGGGCCAGAUCUCACAUAACAGCCCAGAAGCUCCGAACAAAG